ensembl:lncRNA
AUGGCCAAGUCCCCCUGGCUGCCAUGUUUUACACCACGUCGACGAGGUGGGUACUCUGUCUCCCAAAGGCUGCCCCACGGCAAAACCAAGAUUUGCUCAACUCGCCCUGUCUCAAUUCCUCUGACCGCAGCCUUCCAGAGAGGGAGCUUUGCCCAGGGAAUUGAGGUGAGUAGGGAGGGGGCAAACAGGAGGGGGCCGUCAAGGUGUGGACCUGGAAGGGAUCUGCAGGAGCACUCAUCUGUUUUGCAGAUGAAGAAACACUCCAGAGAGGGGACGUGCCUCGCCCAGGGUCCUGCAGAGAUCACGUAGACACCUACAACAGAGGGGACUUGGGCACCACAGGGGACCGUGCAUUGGAUCCUGGCCGGAAGCCAGAAGCCCCUCAAGGACAAGGACCUCCUUGUACCCCACUCCUCCCCGUGGUGCCGACCACAGGGUGCAGCACAUAGUAGGCGCUCAAAAAGUCCUCCACGAUGAGUAAAUCUUUCAUCCUUCAGUAGCUGCAAUCACCUGCCGUUUAUUCAUGUCUUCAUUCAUUUCUCUAGCAACUAGUGAGCACUGACUGUGUGCGUGGCACCCUGCUGGAUGCGGGAACACACAGUUGAAUAAGACACCGUGCCUGCACCCCCUGCACCUGUUGACUUAUCUUCUGGUGGGGGUCUGGGGUUACCCCACAUCACAACACGUGCCCCCAUAGUUUUCCUCACUCCCAACUCAGGCUUCCUCUGCUCAGCCUGGUACUUGCAGCCAGCUCUCUGCCUAGGCCGGAGGCGGAGCAGUCCGCUCCAAACCCUCCCCCCAGGCCCUGUCCACGCCUUUCUUCUUUGCCAGUCCUAACACCCCCCCGCCUCCUCCAGGAAGCUCUCUUUGACUACAUGUCCCGCAGUUGCUCCCCAGGCCCUGGUGCUGAGGUCUUGAGCUCCGCCCCGGUAUCUUUGAUUUUGUCUGUCUGUCUUUCUGUUUCUGUGUGAAGACCCCCAUUGGCCUCUGGAGCUUCCUGAAUACAAGGACUGCUUCCCUUCAGCUGUUUUUUUUUUUUUGUUUGUUUGUUUUUGUUUUUGUUUUUUCCUUUUUAGGGCCGCACCUGCAGCAUAUGGAAGUUCCCAGGCUAGGGGACCAGCAGCAGGUGCCAGCCUACAACACAGCCACAGUAACACCAGAUGCAAGCCACAUCUGCGACCUACACUGCAGCUCAUAGCAACGCCGGAUUCUUAAUCCAAUGAGGGAGGCCAGGGAUUGAACCUGCAUCCUCAUGGAUACAAGUUGGGUUCUUAACCCCCUGAGCCAUGACGGGAACUCCAUUCAGCUGUUUUUCUUCUGGUCUAAAUAGAUCAGAAAAGGCAGGAGGGGAGGUCAUGUCGUCAACUCCCAGCACACAGGGCCUGCCUUGGACUUUAAUCCUGGGAUCCCCUUACAGGACGAUUUCUCUGGAAUGACCAGGGUGCUGACUUGCCAGUCCUGGCCCAAGACGCCUGUGCCCUGAUCUUCCAUGCUGAGCCUGGGGGCUCAGGUGGAGCAUCAGCUCUUAGGUUCCUGCUGAGCCCCAGUGCCCUUUGCGUGAAGGUGGGGGGCCCUCCAUCUUCACUUCACCAGCUCCCAACUUGGUCACUUAACUGCCCCUAUGGCAGGCAGCCUACGGGUGAAAAAUCCUUCCAGGGAACCAACCUGCUUGCCCUUAUCUGCCAGAUGACCCAAGGUACAGUGCUUGGCCUCUCUGGGCCUCUACUAAUGACACCUGUCCUGUCCAUCUCACAGGUAUUUGGGAGGACCAGAGUUCAAGGAGAAGAAAGAGCCAAACCCAGGUAGGGGCUCAUUUUUGUCGUUAUCCUCAGAGCAGGGGCAGUGCCCUGGGCCAGGCGUUCACUGAAUGGCUCUGGAGGCCAGGAGUGGGGAGGGAGGGAGCGGGUAUGAGGAGGGGGAACCAGACUCCAGCCUUCCUGAGAAUGAGCCAGGAUCUGCCAGCAGGAAAGGGGCGGGAGGACUUUCCUGGUGGCUCAGUGGGUUAAGGAUCUGGCUGUCACUGCUGUGGUGAGGGUUUGAUCCUUGGCCCAGAAAAUUCUGCAUGGCAUGGGCAUGGCAAAAAAAAAAAAAAAAAAUAGCCUCUGAGUUAAAGAAUAAAAUUAUCUUCACUAAAUGCUCA